CACAAGCGGUGGAUGAUGUGGAUUAAUUCGAUGCAACGCGAAAACCUUACCACCUUUGACAUGUACGGAAUCCUUUAGAGAUAGAGGAGUGCUCGAAAGAGAACCGUAACACAGGUGCUGCAUGGCUGUCGUCAGCUCGUGUCGUGAGAUGUUGGGUUAAGUCCCGCAACGAGCGCAACCCUUGUCAUUAGUUGCUACAUUCAGUUGGGCACUCUAAUGAGACUGCCGGUGACAAACCGGAGGAAGGUGGGGAUGACGUCAAGUCCUCAUGGCCCUUAUAGGUGGGGCUACACACGUCAUACAAUGGAUGGUACAAAGGGUCGCCAACCCGCGAGGGGGAGCCAAUCCCAUAAAGCCAUUCGUAGUCCGGAUCGCAGUCUGCAACUCGACUGCGUGAAGUCGGAAUCGCUAGUAAUCGUGGAUCAGAAUGUCACGGUGAAUACGUUCCCGGGCCUU
rnacentral:rRNA from 1 species